rnacentral:rRNA from 1 species
CCUACGGGAGGCAGCAGUGGGGAAUCUUGCGCAAUGGGCGAAAGCCUGACGCAGCCAUGCCGCGUGAAUGAUGAAGGUCUUAGGAUUGUAAAAUUCUUUCACCGGGGACGAUAAUGACGGUACCCGGAGAAGAAGCCCCGGCUAACUUCGUGCCAGCAGCCGCGGUAAUACGAAGGGGGCUAGCGUUGCUCGGAAUUACUGGGCGUAAAGGGAGCGUAGGCGGACAUUUAAGUCAGGGGUGAAAUCCCGGGGCUCAACCUCGGAAUUGCCUUUGAUACUGGGUGUCUUGAGUAUGAGAGAGGUGUGUGGAACUCCGAGUGUAGAGGUGAAAUUCGUAGAUAUUCGGAAGAACACCAGUGGCGAAGGCGACACACUGGCUCAUUACUGACGCUGAGGCUCGAAAGCGUGGGGAGCAAACAGGAUUAGAUACCCUGGUAGUCCACGCCGUAAACGAUGAUUGCUAGUUGUCGGGAGUAGUCGACUAGUCGACUUACGGUUUUCGGGUACGGACCGACGACGUAACCGUAACCGACUUAAAGUUAACGAACUAACGUCCCCGUCCGGUAGGGGUACGGUUACCGGGUCGACGAAGUAAACUUAAAACCUAACUAAAGUAGUAAGUUACGGACGGCGUAGGAACGUACGUCGACCGAACGGACCAACCGAACGGGAAGGGUAAGAGGG